AGGAGGAACAACCCCAGUGGCGGGGCCAGCUCUGCAGCCCCGGAGUCCGCUUCCGCAGUAGCUAGGAGCUCUCGGUCGGCAGGGCCUGGAGGCUCGGGGCGGG
rnacentral:pre_miRNA from 1 species